rnacentral:pre_miRNA from 13 species
AAGUUGGAUUGGACCUGUGCUUUAUUUUGCCGCAGUCGUAUUUCAAAGCGAUGAUUAUCACCGGGUAAAAAUAAGGCACAGGUCCGGUCCG